UCAUAUAAAGGCGCGGUUGGAGAAAUCCAUAUUUUGAUGCAGCACCCAACGGCGCAUGGCUGUUCCAGGUCUUCUUCUCCUGCGUCCUAGCCGGCGAAUGGGAUUUGUAUAUAUAUGCGCGCGCGCUUGCUUGCUUGUGUGUGUGUGUGUGUGUGUGUUGGAGGAGAUUCUUAAGUGUGUGUGACUGGGGAGGCGCUCGCAGUGGGCUGUCCGUUUUCUGCUUCACAGUGUAAUCACAUCCCGCUCCUUAUACUCCACACACCGGUGUGUGUCCCGGUUGCCGGCCGGAUGUUCAGUGUAAUGGCCGCUUCUAUUCCUGCUUGUGGUCAGCUAUCCUCUUGUCCUCCUCCUUCUCCUUCCACCAGUGUACACAGGGCUCGUCUUUUUUAUUCCUCCCGCAGUUCCUGCUUGUCAUCCAUGCCUCCAUUCCCUUUACAGCAGCGCGGAUCCUGAGCGAGUGAAGGCUCAGUCUGUGUCGCCCCUCUCCGGUUAACGUGCAGCGGUGCAGAUAAACGCAAGAACGCUUUCCAGUUCCGGUGACGUGUCCUGGUGUGACAGAGCCAUGUCCUAAACCGCACCCUAACCAACCAACCAGGGGGGCUUCCCAUUUCGUUCUUUUCCUCAUUUCCUUUCCUCGCUUCUUAGCGCCUCCCUCCGAUAAAGCAAAGAAAGGAUGCAAGGGCAUGAGGAAUGAAGGAAUUCUUCUUUAAUGACUUUAUAAGGUCACGAGGAACCCGGAGCCUAUCCCAUGCAGGGAGCAUCGGGCACAAGACGGGGUACACUCUGGACGGGGUGCCAAUCCAUCAUAGGGCACACUCACACACCACGGACACUUUGGACAUGCCAAUCGGCUUACCAUGCAUGUCUUUGGACUGGGGGAGGAAACCAGAGUACCUGGGGGUAACCUCCACAGCACGGGGAGAACAUGCAAACUCAGCACACACAAGGCAGCGGCGGGAAUCGGACCCCCGACCCUGAAGGGUCGCAGGGGAGCCUGGAGCUUAUACCAUGGAACUCAGGGCAAUCUGGAUGGGGUGCCAUCCCAUCACAGGGUACAGUCACAGAUGACAGACAAUUUGGAAAUGCCAAUCAUCCUACAACGCAUGUCUUUGGAAAGGGGGAGGAAACCGGAGUACCUGGAGGAAACCCCUGAAGCACAGGGAGAAGAUUCAAGCUCUGCGCACACAGGGCGGGGAUGGGAUUCAAACCCCCAACCGCAGAGGUGCAAGGCAAACGUGCUAACCACGAAGACUUAAUCUUAGGCAAUUCACCUGCCGCCAUGUUUUUAGGAAGUGGAGGAAACCAGAGAACCCAGUGGAAACCCACACAAACACAGAGCGAACAUGCAGACAGUACAACUCUGUACAGACAGUAAUCUGAGCUCAGGAUCGAACCUGGGAUUCCAGCUAUACCUCAAUUCCCAACUAAAUAUCCUGUUUAGAUUAGAAAUAUGUUAUAUUAUGGAAUCUUUCCAUAUCCAAGUUGUCUUUAAGGAAAAUUCACUUGAAAGCACACAGUAUGAAAUAUGCAGUUUAGUUUACGGACCUUACCGUACACCACAAAUUUUGUUCCUCUUCUAUGAGAUAAAAAAUUGUAUCAUGGGAUGAUCACAAUCAUGCCUGCUUUAAAAUCAUCAGCUGAACUGAACAGACCAUUCAAAGAGUCUCUUAAUAGGAAUGUAAUUAACUGCCCUCACACAGUAUUCAGUACAACGAUUUGUAGUUUGUGAUGCAGCCACAGCUUUUGUUCCAAUAAUCCACAGAUUGUGCCAUCUAGUGGCCAAAGAAAGACCAGGUAUAGAUAAGUAAGCAGACAUAUGCUGUAUCUGUAGAAAAAGGAGGACAUUUUAAUCUGUUUUAAUAAACUGUGGUUUUAUAUUCUCGAAAAUGCUAGUAUAUUUGUAAGCUAUAUAUUUGUAAUGUGGUGAAAAGUUACAGGGCUUAGCUUUGAAUGUGGCAUGAAUAAGAAGGUGGGCAUUCUGACGGAUGAAGCAGAUUUUAGAUUAGAUUAAAGAGCCCCAAUUCACCAGUCGUGGUACAGUGGAUGUUAUUUCCUGCCAGGAAACUUCUUUCUUCAUGGCACUGCCACAAUUCUUAUCUACUAGGGUUUUCUCAUAAUGUGUGGUUUUUUUGUUUUUUUUACACUAUUAUGUGAUGAGUAGGACAAAUUAGAAAAGCAACUGUAACUAAGGUCAAAACACACUUUUGUGGUGUAAAAUACUUUUACAGCCACUACUGCAACACACCUCUCUUCUACUUCUAAUACAGGAAAAACCAGGUUACUAUUUGCUUAUUUGCUGACACAACAGUAUGUAAUGUACUGGUAAAUCCUGAUCAUCUCUAGUGCAACUACAACAUGAGCACAGAUAUUUUCAGAAACAUUUUGUAUGUUUCAUUCCUUCUCCACAGUUGACAGACAAUGCAAUGACCGAAAGCACAUUUAAAACACGGGAUUUUACAGCAUGGAGGACAUUCACCUUUCACUAGCAGAGACGGAGGCUCUAGUCAUGAAUGUCAAACACAAACGAGUACUUAAAGGAAUACACCAGCAUUUUUCAUCCUAAUCUCUAUCCAACAUCUCUGUAUGUGUGCAUGUGUGAUUACUAUGGAAAGGAAAUUUUGGGGAAAUAAUCCAUACUGGGGUGGUGCGAUAUAGCCUAAUGUGAAACAGGAAAUUAUAGUUCUGAUAUUCAUCUUAUUCCACAUUGAUUAUACCAACAAUUAUCAUUUAUUAAUGAACAACCCAGUACACACCUUAACCGUUUAUUCUU